rnacentral:rRNA from 1 species
GACGAACGCUGGCGGCGUGCUUAACACAUGCAAGUCGAACGGUGAAGGUGGAGCUUGCUCCGCCGGAUCAGUGGCGAACGGGUGAGUAACACGUGGGCAACCUGCCCCAGACUUCGGGAUAACUCCUCGAAAGAGGUGCUAAUACCGGAUACGAACUCCUUGGGCAUCCUUGGAGUUGGAAAGUUUUUCGGUCUGGGAUGGGCCCGCGGCCUAUCAGCUUGUUGGUGAGGUAACGGCUCACCAAGGCGACGACGGGUAGCCGGCCUGAGAGGGCGACCGGCCACACUGGGACUGAGACACGGCCCAGACUCCUACGGGAGGCAGCAGUGGGGAAUAUUGCGCAAUGGGCGAAAGCCUGACGCAGCAACGCCGCGUGAGGGAUGACGGCCUUCGGGUUGUAAACCUCUUUCAGCAGGGAAGAAGCGAAAGUGACGGUACCUGCAGAAGAAGCACCGGCUAACUACGUGCCAGCAGCCGCCGCCG